GUAGGUUACGUACCCUCAGGACGGGGAUAGCCGGGGGAAACUCCGGGUAAUACCCGAUAAUCUCUACGGAGCAAAGGUGUGAUUCCACCUGGGGAGCGGCCUACGCGGUAUUAGCUAGUUGGUAAGGUAAUGGCUUACCAAGGCAAAGAUGCCUGGGGGGUGUGAGAGCAUGACCCCCACCACUGGGACUGAGAUACUGCCCAGACACCUACGGGUGGCUGCAGUCGAGAAUCUUCGGCAAUGGGCGAAAGCCUGACCGAGCGACGCCGCGUGCGGGAUGAAGGCCUUCGGGUUGUAAACCGCUGUCAGAGGGGAUGAAAUCAUUGGGGGUACUCCCCCAUUGUUGACAGAGCCUCAGAGGAAGCACGGGCUAAGUUCGUGCCAGCAGCCGCGGUAAUACGAACUGUGCGAACGUUAUUCGGAAUCACUGGGCUUAAAGGGUGCGUAGGCGGCCGUUUAGGUAGGGUGUGAAAUCCCCCGGCCCAACCGGGGAAUGGCGCUCUAAACCGUACGGCUC
rnacentral:rRNA from 1 species